GGAUUAGAUACCCUGGUAGUCCACGCCGUAAACGAUGAUUACUCGUUAUUAGCGAUAUACAGUUAGUGACUAAGCGAAAGUGAUAAGUAAUCCACCUGGGGAGUACGGUCGCAAGAUUGAAACUCAAAGGAAUUGACGGGGGCCCGCACAAGCGGUGGAGCAUGUGGUUUAAUUCGAUGAUACGCGAGGAACCUUACCAGGGCUUAAAUGUAGAUUGACAGGUUUGGAAACAGACUUUUCUUCGGACAAUUUACAAGGUGCUGCAUGGCUGUCGUCAGCUCGUGCCG
rnacentral:rRNA from 1 species